CUCAGAGAAAGUAAAUUCUGGUAUGAACCAGCCCUUUUGAAUCACUCCAGAAAGCACAGAUGAUGCUGGUCCCAUGAAAUCAGAGUGCUGAAUCAGGACAGUGCAGGGCUCCCAGUGCAGAACAAAGACCUGCACAGGUUCUGCAGCCCCUGGAACAUCCUGAGCACUGGAAAAUCUCUCUUCUCCAUGGAGCUUCCCAUCCCAAUGCCUCUGGAAACUGGAGUCAGGUUUCCCAGCACCUUCACAGACAGGAGUGAGCUCAGUUGGGUAUUCUGAAUAAGGACCACCAAAUUCUCUGCCUUCGUGGCCCUCAUCUUCCCAAGGAAGAGCCACAAGGAGCCAGGAAUGAGGAUGUGCCCAGGUGACACUGAGUGGUUCUGCUUGAGAGGAAGGAACAAAGAACUGGAAUAAUCUGCCAGGCCAGGGAGUGAGCUGGGAUGGCCCUUGAGGUGUUGUGAGGUCCUCAGGAUGAGGUUCCCUGCAAAUUCCACAUGCAUUCCUCUCUCCAAGUGGUGCCUGCAGCACAAGUCCAGCAAAUCCAGGCUGCUGCUUCCAUCUGCUGCCCGAAGUGUUCAUUGCAAGCCUCUCCCUGUCUGGGAGGCAGCAGCAGCAGCUUGAAACAACCUUCAGAGAUGUUCUGCACAAAGGAGAACUUAAACAGAAGUUACACUAUGGAUGCGAUGCCUCAGGUUUCAGCUUUUCUAUUUUUCAGGUUCUGUGAUGCCUUGGGAAUAGCAAACAGAACUUUGAGAAUGAAAUCAAGAUUGCAAGAAGAUCAAAUCAGAUUCACCAGAAAAAGAAAAUGGCAUCAGACUUCUGCAAGCAAGAGAUGUUUACAAUGGAUAAGUUGGUUUAUGUGAUUAUUGACCAAAUUAGUGUAGUAGAACAUUACUAGCCUCCCUAAAAUAGUAUAUAAGUGUUUGUAUCCCACAAUAAAAUUGGAUUCUGAUAAUCAAA